GCCUUCGUGGUGUAGUGGUCAGCACGCUCGACGCAUAACUGAGAGGUCCGUGGUUCGAUUCCCGGCGAAGGGG
rfam:Stegodyphus mimosarum contig79945, whole genome shotgun sequence.